rnacentral:rRNA from 1 species
AUGAACGCUGGCGGCGUGCCUAAUACAUGCACGUCGAGCGAACGGACGAGAAGCUUGCUUUUCUGAUGUUAGCGGCGGACGGGUGAGUAACACGUGGAUAACCUACCUAUAAGACUGGGAUAACUUCGGGAAACCGGAGCUAAUACCGGAUAAUAUUUUGAACCGCAUGGUUCAAAAGUGAAAGACGGUCUUGCUGUCACUUAUAGAUGGAUCCGCGCUGCAUUAGCUAGUUGGUAAGGUAACGGCUUACCAAGGCAACGAUGCAUAGCCGACCUGAGAGGCGGAGCGCCCACAUGGGAAGGACGCCGGGCACCGGCCUCCUCGGGGAGGCACGAGAGGGGAAUAUUGUGAAGGGGAGGGAAACCUGGGGGAACGCCCCCGAGGGAGAGACGAAGGCGUUCGGUGCGAAAACAUUUUUUUUGGGGGAUAAACAGAUGUAGAAUAAGCUUUGCCCUCCUUGACGGUAACUAAUAAAAAACCCACGGCUAACUCCGCG